rnacentral:rRNA from 1 species
GAUGAACGCUGGCGGCGUGCUUAACACAUGCAAGUCGAACGAACGACUAUUAACAGAACCUUUCGGGGCGAAGAUGAUAGAAGUUAGUGGCGGACGGGUGCGUAACGCGUGGGUAAUCUGCCUUUGUCAAAGGAAUAACUAUUCGAAAGAAUAGCUAAAACCGUAUAACAUAUUAAUAGGGCAUCCUAAUAAUAUCAAAACGAUAGUGGACAAAGAUGAGCCCGCGUCUGAUUAGCUAGUUGGUGAGAUAAAAGCCCACCAAGGCAACGAUCAGUAGCCGACCUGAGAGGGUGAACGGCCACAUUGGAACUGAGACACGGUCCAAACUCCUACGGGAGGCAGCAGUGGGGAAUAUUGCACAAUGGGGGGAACCCUGAUGCAGCAACGCCGCGUGAGUGAAGAAGGCAUUCGUGUCGUAAAACUCUGUAGUAGGGGAAGAAAGAAAUGACAGUACCCUAAAAGAAAGCCCGGCUAA